rnacentral:rRNA from 1 species
GACGAACGCUGGCGGCGUGCCUAAUACAUGCAAGUAGAACGCUGAAGGAGGAGCUUGCUUCUCUGGAUGAGUUGCGAACGGGUGAGUAACGCGUAGGUAACCUGCCUGGUAGCGGGGGAUAACUAUUGGAAACGAUAGCUAAUACCGCAUAAGAGUAGAUGUUGCAUGACAUUUGCUUAAAAGGUGCAAUUGCAUCACUACCAGAUGGAGCUGCGUUGUAUUAGCUAGUUGGUGAGGUAACGGCUCACCAAGGCAACGAUACAUAGCCGACCUGAGAGGGUGGUCGGCCACCCUGGGACUGUGACCCGGCCCAGUGUGCUACGGGAGGCAGCAGUAGGGCAUCUUCGGCCAUGGGCGGAAGUCUGACCGAGCAACGCCGCGUGAGUGAAGAAGGUUUUCGGGUCGUAGAGCUCGGUUGUAAGGGAAGAACGAGUGUGAGAGUGGAAAGUUCACACUGUGACGGUAUCUUAUAAGAAAGAAACGGCUAACUACGUG